AAUCUACACUUUUAUGGACACUCUUAGGUACUUAUCGCAGGCAUGAUGUUGCCCAAGGAGACAACCCAAGAGGGAGGGGGGGUGAAUUGGGUUUUAAUUAAUUAUUGAUCAAUUAAAAAUAAGGUGAGUGAUUAACUAAAUAUAUUGCAAGUGAAUUAGUUAGAUCACUAGAUGCAAUGAGUGAAGAGAGUGAAAGAGACAAGGUGCAAUACAAACACAGAAAGAUUUAUAAUGGUUCAGAGCUAACUCUUGCUCCUACAUCCACUCCCCAAGCCGCACUUGGGAGUUCACUAUAAUUUCUAGGAUUACAGCUGGUUGUUUUACAAACUCACAACCUAACUUAUUGUUUUCACGAGAUUACAACGAACUCGGUCGGUUUUCACAGACUCACCGACUAGAACCAAUCGAUUGUUUUUUCGGGUUCACAAUCAAACCCAGUUGGUUUUUCCGGAUUCACUAACUACAACCUUAUACCGUUGAUUUUAUCUUUGGCUCACCAACAAACCUUACAACUCUUGAUUCAAUCUCCUGAUUGAAUCAAGUAUACGAAAUAAGAGUUUAUAGUUCACAAGAAAGCUUCUAAAAAAAGCAAGUGUGAGACAAUAUAAACAAAGUUGAGUUAGAAGCCCUCAAACAGAUUUUAGAUGAGGAAGUGGGGGCUUCUCGAUUUUCGAGUCUCCUCUUGAAUGUGCCGAAGGAUGGAGGACAGUAGUAGAGCCUUGAAUGCGAAGGAACCACUUUUUGGUUUGAGUUGAAUGCACUUCUUCCUUCUUUUUCUUGGAUUCACUCUACGGAAGCUCUUGGUGGUUGAAAUACUUUAAUGCUCAUUAGAAUAGCUCUCUACUUGUCUACUACUGUUCACUCUGGCUAUUUUAAUGAUUUCUUUUGAAAAAUAGCCGUUAGAGAGUGAUUUGGAGCCGUUCUGAUCCGUCUGCACAAUCUGACAAUGUAUCCAUUGGGAUCGGAGUCGACUCGUGCGAUCUGGAGUCGACUCGUGCUUUACUAGAGACGAUCGUCCGCUGUUCCAGAUUUGAAUUAAAGUACAUCCCUCGUCCUGGGGUUGACUCUGACCAAACUGGAGUCGACUCGCCAACAGCUGGAGACGACUCGGGCACUAGGGGUUGGCUCGUUCUCAGGGUUCCAGAAACUCAACUUUCUGUUUCUUCCUCAAGUCGACUCGGGUUUACUUGGAGUCGACUCGGCUGACUUGAGAGGCGACUCGAGAUCUUUGAGAGACGUCUCAUUCUCAGAGAUCGGAAAAUUGUUUCUGUCCUUUGAGCUGUUUUGCCUCGGAGUCGACUCGGGUUUUGUUGGAGUCGACUUAGCUAACUUGAGGGUCGACUCUGAAACACUUGGAGUUGAUUCGUUCACAGGGUCUCCGAAACUGAGUCUCUGCCUUUCAGACUGUUUUUCUCUGCGAGUCGACUCGGACAAACUGGGAGUCGACUCGGCUGAUAUGGGAGACGACUUGUAGGCUUCGCGAGACGGCUCAUUGACAGGGUCUCAAAAACUAGCAUUCUGUCUUUUGUCUGUUACCCUUUGGAGUCGACUCGGGAUCAUCUGGAGUCGACUCGGCAAGCAGCGGAGUCGACUCUCAACCUUUUGGAGUCGACUCGUUAACAGGGUCUAAAACCCAUCGUUCUGUCUUUCUGUCUGUUCUCAGUCGGAGUCGACUCGAGCUUGUGCCAGAAACUUGAAGUGUGCACGAGUCGACUCGCAAGGUUCAGGAGUCGACUCGUGAUGCAGAUUUUGGUUCAAAUAGAAUUCAAUACUCAACCAAACUAUUUUGAAUCAAAGCUUAAGAUACUUAGACAGAAAUUCAUAAAGAUUUACCUGAAACACUAGAUUGAAUUCAUUAGAAUAACAUAAGACAUACUCCAAUGCUUUGAGCUCAUCAAAAUCAAUUAGGAAAUACUCAAUCACUCCACACAUGAGUUUUAUUUUGUAUUUUUUUCUUUAAUGGCAUGCACGUCUUGAUCCGUAUGUAUAUUAAAUUGUGGAUGGUUAACACCUUCAUGCUCGAUUUCUAGUUCAAAAACAUUGAGAAAUGUGAAUGUGCUUGAUCCUUGCAAGAUAAAGCUUGUUAGAGAGAAAAAAGAAAUACAACUCGACAUGAUAUCACUAGCUAUGGUUUGUGUCCUCCAGAGCUGGUGCCAUGCAGCAGUGUUUUAGUUGCCGUCUUUCAGAUGUUUGUGUUGUCUGUUAUCAUCUUAUGGUGAACCCUCUACGGCAUCCAGAAGAACUUGCUGGAUCAUUGCAAAGCUUCAAAACACACUGCAGUUAUAAGUAUUUGGCAUAAUGCAAACGACCACCUUCCAUUAAUCACCGAACGACCUAAAGUUAGCACAUGAUGCUAGCUGAAGUCUAUACUAAAAGCGAAGGUUCCAUUGCAGUGACAAUAUUUUUCUGAGUAGUAUCAACUGUUUGGUUUGUGAUUUAUUAUGUACCAAUGCUUGGGCUGAAGUUGGCUGGCAGUCACUCAUUUUGUGCUUUUAUGAUGUUUUAUCAAGCAUCCAUUCUUUCCACUCUACCUUCAUUGGAAUGGUGGAUUGCAAGAGCAAAUAACUUUUGUAGAACUUCGAAAGUGGGUAUUAUUGAUAUCUAUAUC
rnacentral:lncRNA from 1 species